UACGUAGGGUGCGAGCGUUAAUCGGAAUUACUGGGCGUAAAGCGUGCGCAGGCGGUUCUCCAAGUCCGUUGUGAAAGCCCCGGGCUCAACCUGGGAAUGGCAGUGGAAACUGGAGGACUUGAAUUGAGCAGAGGGGGGUGGAAUGCCGCGUGUAGCAGUGAAAUGCGUAGAGAUGCGGCGGAACACCGAUGGCGAAGGCAGCCCCCUGGGCUUAAAUUGACGCUGAGGCACGAAAGCGUGGGGAGCAAACAGG
rnacentral:rRNA from 1 species